rnacentral:lncRNA from 1 species
GACAAAUAAAGCAGACCAGACACCAGCUCUCCCUUCUUGACUUUUAAUUGAUGAUCAAAUAGAUAAAUGAAGAUCCUUGAAAGUGACAGUCCUUCAGAUUCAGAACCAGACCACUGGAAGCCAUGGCCAGAACAGAGUUCCUUUAGUGGGUGUCUCAGAAUUCUUACAUUGAUUGAUUGACUUUUCAGCAAGGCAUGGGACAAGAUAGAGGAAAUAAAUGACUUAGGACUAUUAAUCUUUGACAGACUU